CGCAUAGUUUCAGGAAUCGCAUKWUUGCACAAGGAAAGGUAGCUUCGGCUACCACUAAUUGAGUGGCCCGCGGGUGAUUAACAAGUGGGUGAGGUAAUGGUUCACCAAGGCAAUGAUACGUAGCCGACCUGAGAGGGUGAUCGGCCACACUGGGACUGAGACACGGCCCAGACUCCUACGGGAGGCAGCAGUAGGGAAUCUUCCGCAAUGGACGAAAGUCUGACGGAGCAACGCCGCGUGAGUGAAGAAGGUUUUCGGAUCGUAAAACUCUGUUGUUAAAGAAGAACAAGGAUGAGAGUAACUGCUC
rnacentral:rRNA from 1 species